rnacentral:rRNA from 1 species
AUUGAACGCUGGCGGCAUGCCUUACACAUGCAAGUCGAACGGCAGCACGGGAGCAAUCCUGGUGGCGAGUGGCGAACGGGUGAGUAAUAUAUCGGAACGUGCCCAGUCGUGGGGGAUAACUACUCGAAAGAGUGGCUAAUACCGCAUACGAUCUACGGAUGAAAGCGGGGGACCUUCGGGCCUCGCGCGAUUGGAGCGGCCGAUAUCAGAUUAGGUAGUUGGUAGGGUAAAAGCCUACCAAGCCUGCGAUCUGUAGCUGGUCUGAGAGGACGACCAGCCACACUGGAACUGAGACACGGUCCAGACUCCUACGGGAGGCAGCAGUGGGGAAUUUUGGACAAUGGGCGAAAGCCUGAUCCAGCAAUGCCGCGUGCAGGACGAAGGCCUUCGGGUUGUAAACUGCUUUUGUACGGAACGAAAGGUAGCUCCUAAUACUAGGGGCUCAUGACGGUACUGUAAGAAUAAGCACCGGCUAACUACGUGCCAGCAGCCG